CAGCCGCCGCGGGAAUACGAAGGGUGCAAGCGUUACUCGGAAUUACUGGGCGUAAAGCGUGCGUAGGUGGUGGUUUAAGUCCGUUGUGAAAGCCCUGGGCUCAACCUGGGAAUUGCAGUGGAUACUGGGUCACUAGAGUGUGGUAGAGGAUAGUGGAAUUUCCGGUGUAGCAGUGAAAUGCGUAGAGAUCGGAAGGAACAUCUGUGGCGAAGGCGACUAUCUGGGCCAACACUGACACUGAGGCACGAAAGCGUGGGGAGCAAACAGGAUUAGAUACCCGGGUAGUCCCUGUCUCUUAUAA
rnacentral:rRNA from 1 species